GAUGAAGAACGCAGCGAAAUGCGAUAAGUAAUGUGAAUUGCAGAAUUCAGUGAAUCAUCGAAUCUUUGAACGCACCUUGCGCCCUUUGGCUAUUCCGAAGGGCAUGCCUGUUUGAGUAUCAUGAACACCUCAACUCUUUAUGGUUUUCCAUGAAGGGCUUGGACUUUGGGGGUCUUGCUGGCCUUUAGUCAGCUCCUCUCAAACGAAUCAGCUUUCCAGUGUUUGGCAGCGUCACAGGUGUGAUAACUAUCUACGCUUGUGGUUUUCUGCCAGGUAAUCCUCAGUGAUGGGGAUUCGCUGGGGCUUAUAAAUGUCUCUCCUCAGCGAAGACAGCUUUGUGAACGUUUGAUCUCACAUCAGGUAGGACUACCCGCUGAACUUAAGCAUAUCAAUAAGCGGAGGA
rnacentral:misc_RNA from 1 species